rnacentral:rRNA from 1 species
UAAGAGUUUGAUCCUGGCUCAGGAUGAACGCUAGCGGCGUGUUUAAGAUAUGCAAGUCGAGCGUCUCUUACAUAAAGCUUGCUUUGUGUAAGGGUAGCGGCGGACGGCUGAGUAACACGUAGGAACCUACCCUAUGGUGGGGUAUAGCCUCGGGAAACCGAGGGUAAUCCCCCAUAUCCAGCUCCUUUUUUGUUUUAUAGGUUUUUCCAGGCUGCCCUGACAGGCAGUUGCGGAAUUAUCUCUAUAGACCAAAAAUGGAGUUGGAAAGGGCUUAACUGCUCGCCAAAGGAGGGGCCUGCGGCCUAUCAGGUAGUUGGUGGGGUAAAAGCCUACCAAGCCUAUGACGGGUAGCUGACCUUAUGAGGGUGAUCAGCCAGAGGAGGACUGAGACACGGCCUCCACACCUACGGGUGGCAGCAAUCAAGAAUCGUUGGCAAUGGGCGAAAGCCUGACCACGCGACGCCGCGUGUAGGAAGACGCCUUUCGGGGUGUAAACUACUGUGGUAGGGGAAAAAAUCCAGCGCCGUAUAUUUGAAAACUUUUUCGAGUAUAGAGCGCUGGACUGAUGGUACCCUACUAGAAAGUGGCCGCUAACUUCGUGCCAGAAGCGUCGGUGAUACGAGGGCCACAAGCGUUAUCCGGUGUGACUGGGCGUAAAGGGUUCGUAGGCGGUNNNNNNNNNNNNNNNNNNNNNNNNNNNNNNNNNNNNNNNNNNGAAGGCAGAUUACUGGAAGCUAACUGACGCUGAGGAACGAAAGCUAGGGGAGCAAACCGGAUUAGAGACCCGGGUAGUCCUAGCUGUAAACGAUGCUCGCUAGUUGCAUGUGCUGUUUAUUUUAGCAGCACGUGUGGCGAAGCUAACGCGUUAAGCGAGCCGCCUGGGGAGUACGGCCGCAAGGCUGAAACUCAAAGGAAUUGGCGGGGAGACACACAACUAGUGGAUCAUGUGGUUUAAUUCGAGACAAACCGAAGCACCUCACCAAGGUUUGACAUCCAGCUGCAGGCUGGUGGAAACACCGGCGGCUUUCGAAGGUGCUGGACAGCUGCUGCAUGGCUGUCGUCAGUUCGUUCCGUGAGGAGUGCCCUUAAGUGGGACAACGAACGUAACCCUUGCCCCAUGUUAGAUAUGUCAUGGGGAACUGCCCAGCCGAUGGUUGGGAGGAAGGAGAGGCAGACGUCAAGUCAGCAUGGCGCUUAUACCUUGGGCGACACACAUGAUACAAUGAGAUGGACAAAGGGUUGCCAAGCGGUAACGUGGAGCUAAUCCCAUAAACCAUCUCUCAGUAGGGAUAGAGGUCUGCAACUCGACCUCUUGAACGCGGAAUUAGUAGUAAUCGCGGAUCAGCCAAGCCGCGGUGAAUACGUUCUUGUCUCUUGCACACACUGCCCGUCAAGCCAACAAAGUUGGGAGUGCCCGAAGGCUUACAGUUGUAGGACGAGGGUAAGCUCAGCGAUGGGGACUAAGUCGUAAAAAAGUUGC